AUUGAACGCUGGCGGCAGGCCUAACACAUGCAAGUCGAACGAGUGGCGGACGGGUGAGUAAUGUCUGGGAAACUGCCUGCUGGAGGGGGAUAACUACUGGAAACGGUAGCUAAUACCGCAUACCAUCGGAUGUGCCCAGAUGGGCUUAGCUAGUAGGUGGGGUAAAGGCUCCCCUAGGCGACGAUGCCUAGCUGUUUUGAGAGGAUGACCGGCCACACUGGAACUGAGACACGGGCCAGACGCCUACGGUAGGAAGAAGUGGGGAAGAUUGGACAAUGGGCGCAAGCCUGAUGCAGCCAUGCCGCGUGUAUGAAGAAGGCCUGCGGGUUGUAAAGUACUUUCAACGGUGAGGCGUUACCCGCAGAAGAAGCACCGGCUAACUCCGUGCCAGCAGCCGCGGUAAUUC
rnacentral:rRNA from 1 species